AGCAGGUGUUCCCUAAGUACACCAAGCAGUUCAGCUACCUGCAGACCGCAUUGUUGCCCUCUUCUUGCGGUUCCUGGGGGUCAAAGGUAACAUGCGCCUGGGGCCCACCAGCUUCAGAACCUUCAUCAGGUACUACAGUACUAUACUACCAAGUACUUAAAUAAAAAGGGCUUUAUAAAUACAUAUGAUUGAUUGAUUAAUUACUUGAUUCAUGAUUGAUUGGUUGAUUGUAGGCACUGUAAGCUGAGCAUCAGUAACUUCUCCAUGGCGUCUAUGGAUAUCUUCUACAUUGAUAUAACAAGGCGCUGGGCCAACAUGCUGCCUGACUCCAGGGAAGCAGAGAAACCCUCCAGCCAAUCAGAACUAGGCAUGGGUCUCCAGGUGUUUGUGGAGGCUGCCUUCUACCCAGCCCAGCGCAGGUUCAAGUCUCUCUGCUGGAGAUGUGUGAGGCUUAGCUGGAGAACCAGGGAGUAGGGGGUCCUGGAGGAUCUCUUCCUAAGAACAGCACCUGGUCCAGCAGGCGCUCUGUGAGCCACCCCAGACCAGGCCCUAUCAGAACCCCAGCUCUGCUCCCCGGCCAACCUGCGCAGGGCCUCCUCCCAGGACUACCGGCUGCAUCAGCGAUUACGACCCCCACACACACACAAGGCCAAUGUAGAGAACUGACCUGACUCAGGCCUAAGAAGCUAUACUCCCACACACAGACCUCACAGAGGAGCACACAGACUGGCUCCCUCUCCACUGGAAGUCCUCCAGGGUGUCCUGUCAAGAGCAGACAGACAGAUUGUAGGGAGCUGACCUCAGAGGCUGACUUCCAGGACCUGUUCUGGGCUUGAUUUAUUUUCCUUGUGAAGAGGAGGAGGGGGGGAGGAAGGUAGUGCAUAAGGUGGUUGAGGAAGUGGGAGAACAAGGGAUGAAGGUAUAUAGUGGGAUAGAGGGAGUUUGUUCCCUCUCUGUGUGUGUGUGUAACGCCAGGCCACUCAGGUCUAGAGGGGGAGAUGGAUGGUUGUAAAGCCCUGCUUGAGAUGCACUUAUUGGGUCUUACCUCCAGGGUGGUGUGUGUCUCCUUUCAUCCCCUGUCAAGCUACCCACUGGACAAUCACACACGUUUUGUUCUUCUAUCCUCGUGGGGACCUGAAAUUAAUUUCCAUUCGACAUCCUAUUUUCCUUAACUUCUAAACCUAACCACUAACCCCUUAACCUAAUUCAAAUUCUAACCCAACCCCUAAUUGUGACCCUAACCCAAAGCCUGACCCCUAAGCUUAAAAUAGCCUUUGACCUCAUGGGGAUGUAGGAAAUGUCCCCCAGAGGGAGAAUUAUCCUUGUUUUACUAUCUUUGUGGUGACUUUCUGGGAUUUUAGGUCCCCACAAGGAUAUAAGAACCAACCAAAACACACACACACACACUGCAGUGUUACAAUCACACAGUGUGUGUUUCUUGUAUGUAUCUGAGCAUUUGCAUGGUAGCUUUAGAACCUAUAACAUUUGCACAGGUGUGUGUGUGUGUGUGUGUGUGUGUGUGUGUGUGUGUGUGUGUGUGUGUGUGUGUGUGUGUGUGUGUGUGUGUGUGUGUGUCUGCGUGUGUGUGUGCCUGCCUGUGUGUGUGUGUGUGCCUGCGUGUGUGUGCCUGCGUGCGUGUGCAUGCAUGUGUGUGUUAUUGUAUUUGUGAUAAUUGCCAGAGGUUCUGCCAUUCGGCUGUUCCAGCUCAUAGAAGCAUAUGUUUUGCGAUUCGAUACUGUGAUUUUAUUGGAAUUCGAUGCUCCAAACGUAUUGCUCACUGUAUGUCUGCUGUAGAGGGACAAGAGAAAGCCAUGAAUAUAAAUGUUUUGGAAUAUAAAAGUGGUCAGCUCAAAACAUGUUGACUCACCAUUUAAAAGAAGAUUGAGAACUAGCUAUAGGCUGACAAAUACAGGUACAGCCGCUAGCUAGCUAACAUUAACAACCAAGCAACUUUUUAUAUUUUAUAUAUAUAUAUAUAUAUAUAUGCUAUAGUUGUGUUUUUUACAAGUCGAUACUUGGAGUCACAGUAUUGAUAUAAAACUAGCAAAAAUGAGGGGCUAUGGUUUGAUUUAGGACCGGGCACUUCCUCUGCUUUCAUAACAAUAACAUAGCAGCCUUAGACAUACAGCAGUGGGAAAGAGAGAGAGAGAGGGUCACUCAAAAUGUCCACCACAGACCCAAUGUCAGCACAUCUUCUAUCACAUCCUAUACCCUAUGUAAUGUACUGUAUAGGAAAUAAGGUGUGAUUUCAGACAGAACCAGAGCUGUCAUGUUUACAAAUAUCGUGUCAUUCAUAUCCAUAGGAAUGUUUUAAUAGUAUUUUAUUUCUGUUGUUGGUUUGUUUUACACAUCAUUUAUUCACGUCAGUCAUUGUCACCUAUGAACAGUUGCUGUAUUGCAUUGCUGCUUGCAGGAGAAUAAAACUAAACAGUAAAGCUGUCAUGGUUCCUGCAGGACUAUGGGCUUCAGCUUGUCUACACUGAACACCAUAACAAAGAACACACUAAAUGUUUUUGCGCCCCCACUAUGUUAAAAAAAGAAAAAUAAAUUGUAAUCAACAGCCAAUGUUUAGUAUUUUUUUUGGGGGGGGGGGGGCUAUGGCAGUCUUACAAAUCAGUUUGACAGUGUUCUUGACAGUAUUCAAUCUGAAGGAAAUAUGGUUUGAAGUGACUGAAAAGCAUCAGAAAGGAAUUGGGAAGAUCAGAAGAUCAUCAGGCAAUAAAUCAUUUUGCAUGAUCUUCUGUGUAGAAAAGAACAUUGAUGAUAUUCUUUUCCCCCCCAGUCUGAUUUAGUGCCUGGUCUUUUCCACUCAGUUCUAAGGACUUGUGGGCAGAGUAGAGGGAAACAGUAUGUACAUACGUGUUCCUGAGAGUCUUAUCUUUUCAGUGAUGGGGUCAUAAUAUGUUGUAGCUUAAUAAACCAUUCAAAAGAGCUGCAUUUGUAGGAAGAAAACAGAAACCACUCUGUUUAUUAGAACUGCAUCUAGUGGCUACGGGAGGUUACUGAAGUAUCCCCGGUUCUAUGAACCAAGUGCAAAUGUUCUCUCACUACCACAUUUUCAACCCCUAAUUUGGGAAACCCUGAGUUAAGACUAUAGACGUUUGCUUCAUCAUCUCAUACUGUACUCCACCACAGCAUCUGAGAAUAUAUGCUCAGCCAUAACCUCCACUGGGAUGUACUGCACGUCUGUUUAUAGCACUGUAAUGCAGAAUAAAGGACUGUAUUUAAA
ensembl:lncRNA